AAAUAGAGUUGUUAUGUAAUGAAUAAGGUAAUUUUGCUGCCGUGAAAGGCAGCCCCUCUUAUCCUUAAUGAAAUAUCAGUUCAAGUUCUUGUGUUCUUGGUGACAAAGCUAAAGCCUUUUCCUUUCUUUACUUCUUGUUCAAUAAAGCUUUAAUAAGCUAUUUCAAUAUCUCUAUUUCUAUCUCUUAUAAGCAUCAAUCUAUCUUAGUUUCAAAACUCUCACAUGGUAUCAGAGCUUCAGUCGAUUCAUGGGUCUUAUAUUUUUUUUUUUUUUCUAGAGCUUCCGCCUACUGUCUGAAACAAGGAAAGAAAAGCUUUGUCUUUUCAGUCAAGCCUCUACUCCUUUUAUAGUUCAAAGUCCGUGUCUGAAGAACAAAAAAAAAAAAAGGUUUUGUUUCUCUUCAACGACAAAACAAAACCAGAAGGGACAGAGAAGAAUAAAGACAUAGUCAGCUUCUUCAUCACUUAUCCACGGUAUUUUCUAUGUUCUUUUCUCAUGAGACAGAACAAAGGAUAAAAAAAAAAAAAAAAAAGGAAAUUUGUGUGUUGGGUUGAGUUGCUGGCUAGUUUAGAUUCUGAGGUUAAGAUAGGUUGGGAAAAGGAACGCUGAACUAAGUAUGCUUGUUUUGGGUUGAUAACAAUUAAAUUGUGGCUGCAAGUUCCUGGUUUUCAAGAAGGCACACAAGGUGCUUGAUAAAAUGCCACAAAGAAAAUUAGAAUGGUUCAGCGGUAGUUUAUAGUUGGCUAAUGGAUAGGAGUUAGCAAGGAUAGCUUGUGGGGACAUUCCCAUUUGCUUGGUGAUGGAUACAGAGGAACCAAGAAUUGUGUGAUGAACAAUGGUGAAAGAAUACCUCUGAGAGACUAUACUAAACUCUCCAAGUCAAAGAUACCUCUGAGGGAGUCAUGAUAGAUCUCCAAGUAUACACCAAAAGUUGUCAUCUGGUUCAGAAGUCUACUGUAUGAUCAUCUUCGACUGAUGCCUCCUCCAAAGCCAAAUUCAUGUGGAUUCAAACUUGUCAGCUUUGUGUUCACCCGCUGCCAAGUUUGCGGGGGAGUAUUAACACAAGACAGCAUUUCAAGACCAAGCCCAAGAUAAUACUAACAAGCCCAAUACUAUGAUGUAAACCCAUGUGUGAUAGGGUUUCUUGCAAGUGAGUUAGUAGUAGUAUAAAUAGAGUUGUUAUGUAAUGAAUAAG
rnacentral:lncRNA from 1 species